GAUAAACGCUGGCGGCGUGCCUAACACAUGCAAGUCGAACGAUCCCGCAAGGGAGAGUGGCGGAAGGGUGAGUAACACGUGGAAUCUACCUCCUCGCAGGGAACAACCUCUCGAAAGAGAGGCUAAUACCCAAAGGGUCAGAAAUGAUCAGAGUCGAAAGGCGUGAGGAGAGGAGCCCGCGGCCCAUCAGCUAGUUGGUGAGGUAAUGGCUUACAAGGCUACGACGGUAGGGGAUCUGAGAGGAUGUCCCCCACACUGGAACUGAACACGGUCCAGACGCCUACGGGUGGCAGCAGUGAGGAUAUUGGACAAUGGGCGAAAGCCCGAUCCAGCAACGCCGCGUGGAGGAUG
rnacentral:rRNA from 1 species